AGCAGCCGCGGUAAUUCCAGCUCCAAUAGCGUAUAUUAAAGUUGUUGCAGUUAAAAAGCUCGUAGUUGAAUUUCGGGAUUAAUAUGUUGGUCGUGCCUUGGUACGUACUGGCAUUAUUGAUUCCUACCUUCUGAAGAACCUCGAUGUCAUUAAUUUGGUGUCUUGGGGAAUCAGGACCGUUACUUUGAAAAAAUUAGAGUGUUUAAAGCAGGCUCGCGCUUGAAUACAUUAGCAUGGAAUAAUGAAAUAGGACGUUUGAUUCUAUUUUGUUGGUUUCUAGGAUCGACGUAAUGAUUAAUAGGGAUAGUUGGGGGCAUUAGUAUUCAAUUGUCAGAGGUGAAAUUCUUGGAUUUAUUGAAGACUAACUACUGCGAAAGCAUUUGCCAAGGAUGUUUUCAUUAAUCAAGAACGAAAGUUAGGGGAUCGAAGACGAUCAGAUACCGUCGUAGUCUUAACCAUAAACUAUGCCGACUAGGGAUCGGAUGAUGUUAAUUUUUAAUGACUCAUUCGGCGCCUUACG
rnacentral:misc_RNA from 1 species